AGUCAUGCUUGGCGUGACUUUUGCUUGUUACGGCCGGACCCAACCAGAUUUUGGACUACAUCCUUAGGAUCAGGCGAUCAGUUGCAGGAAAGUCUGCUAUCUGACCCAAGACACUAAUAGUGGGUCAUUUGCAGCUUGUUAGAAAACUGGAUUGUGUACGGUUCGAACAAGUUGCCCGCUGAUGGUUGAAAGUUCGUUCCCUUGAUAAAGCUGCAUCGGAUUUGAAGGGGACAGACACAUUAGGGAACUUUUUUAAUUGCUUGUGUACCGAUUGUUGGGUCUCCGCAUACCCAUCUAGUGUCCCCAAUUACAACUAAAUUGAAUUUUAGUUUUCUCCCGAUUUCUGAAAAUGUGUCUUGCAAGUGAGUUGUUCUAAUUUUAGAGUAUAUUGCAAACUAGCACUAAAUCCGUGGUUUUGGAACUGGGGAGUGUGGUGUUAUGACUUUUGGGAGGGCGGGGCUUAAUUUUACUACCGAGCACACAAGCCCAUAACCAGCCACUGAAACGGCUGCAGGAGGAACUCAAGAGAUUCCAUUUUAACAGGAAAAAAAGUUUCAAUUUUUGUUCAUUCUCGGUGGCUUGAUAAACUCGCCAGUAUAAAUUUUCAACUGUAAAAGUGACCACUGCGGUCCCCUACGCUGAGGUGACUUGCCAAGUGUGCUGAACGGAGUUCCGCCACUUUGAAGGCUCGGCUGGUCGACGCUCUGGAAAAACAAAACAUCCAACUUUGGCUGUGCCUCUAAUGAGCUUAUUUCUAACCCUAUCCAACCUGCUCACUCUAAGCGAGAACCUCAGCAUCUUCAUUUCUGCUACCUCAAGUUCUGCUUCCUGUUGUUUCUUCAGUGCUACCCGUCUCUACUCCGUACAUCAUGGCCGGCCUCACCACUGUUUUAUAAACUUUGCCCUUCAUCCUUAGCAGAGACUCUUCUGUCACACAACACACCGGACACCUUCCACCAACUGCUCCACCCCGCUUGGACCCGUUUCUUCACUUCCUUACCACACUCACCAUUGCUCUGGAUUGUUGACCCCAAGUUUUUGAAGUCGUCCACCCUCGCUAUCUCUUCUCCCCUCAUCCCUUCUCAUUCACGCACACAUAUUCCGUUUUACUUCAGCUAAUCUUCAUUCCUCUCCUUUCCAGUGCAUGACUCCAUCUUUGUAAUUGUUCCUCCACCUGCUCCCUCCUCUCACUGCAGAUCACAAUAUCAUCUGCGAACACCAUAGUCCGAGGGGAUUCCAGUCUCACCUCAUCUGUCAGUCUGUCCAUUACUACCGCAAACAGGAAGGGGCUCGCCGCGGAUCCCUGAUGCAAUCCGCUGCGUGCUUGUGCGUGCGCACGGACAUGAGUAGGAGUGGAAGCGACGCCCGUGCCGUGCGGUCACCCUGACUGAUGCGUACCUGCAUGUUGAGGCGCGCCCUCUGGGCUGCAAAAUCGUACUGAGACGUCGAAGAGGCGGACAGCUGAUCGGGCUCGAUCCUGUGCGACUCCAUCCCCAUGGGAGGACAUUCUGACACAAACACGCACAGCACGGCGGCAAACUGGAAUCUGGACCGGCCGUCACGCCGGCACGUUUGAGUGGCGCCGCUUACCUGUGAGAGUUUCUACUUUUAUCUCGGGGCUGACUUCUUCGCCAUCUGGGGGAGG